CACCGCGGUCAAACAAGAGACCCGAAUCAACUUUACUUUUAGACGGCGUAAAGUGUGGUUACAUGUUAUCAAAGUACCUAGGAUUAAAAAGCAACUGAGCUGUCGUAAGCCCAAGAUGCCCAUAAGGCCACCCCUUAAAGAAGUUCCUAGACUAACGAUUAAUUGAAGUCCACGAAAGCCAGGGCC
rnacentral:rRNA from 1 species